rnacentral:miRNA from 1 species
GUAUUACAUUGGUGCAAAAGUAAUUGCAGUUUUUGCCAUAACUUUCAAUGGCAAAAAUUGCAAUUACUUUUGUAUCAACCUAA